rnacentral:sRNA from 1 species
GCCGGGCAUUGUGGCGGGCGCCUGUGGUCCCAGCUACUUGGGAGGCGGAGGCAGGAGACUCGCUUGAGCCCAGGAGUUGGAGGUUGCUGUGAGCUGUAAUGCCACGGCACUCUACCCAGGGGGACAGCUUGAGGCUCUGUCAAAAAAAAAAAAAAAAAACAGAGUCUUUGGCCCUGAGAUUGAGUGUUGUGGUGUCAUAGCUAACAGCAACCUCAAACUCUUGGGCUCAAGCAGUCCUCUUGCC